ACACUAAAAAUAGUCAUUGGGGAGUAGCUGCCCUCCGAAUGCGAGAGGGACCUGCGUCAACAUACUUGCCUCACAAGGCAUGGCGCUGGUGAUUCCAUAUUUGGCAAGACCUUUGACCGAAGCGCCUCCGUUGGGCCGGAGAAGCGUUCGGUCAUUGUGUUCUUCCGGCCCGGAGUCAUC
rnacentral:sRNA from 16 species